GCUGGGCUCGGUGGCGCAUGUCUGUAGUUCCAGCUACUGGGGAGGCUGAGGUGGGACGAUCAGUUGAGCCCAGGAGUUCUGGGCUGUAGUGAGCUAUGCCGAUCGGGUGUCCACGCUAAGUUCAGCAUCAAUAUGGUGACCUCCUGGGAGUAGGGGACCACCAGAUUGCCUAAGGAGGGGUGAACCAGCCCAGGUUGGAAAUGGAGCAAGUCAAAACUCCCGUGCUGAUCAGUAGUGGGAUCGCGCCUGUGAAUAGCCACUGCACUCCAUCCUGGGCAACAUAGUGAGAUCCCAUCUCA
rnacentral:SRP_RNA from 1 species